rnacentral:rRNA from 1 species
GUGGGGAAUCUUAGACAAUGGGGGCAACCCUGAUCUAGCCAUGCCGCGUGAGUGAUGAAGGCCUUAGGGUCGUAAAGCUCUUUCGCCUGUGAUGAUAAUGACAGUAGCAGGUAAAGAAACCCCGGCUAACUCCGUGCCAGCAGCCGCGGUAAUACGGAGGGGGUUAGCGUUGUUCGGAAUUACUGGGCGUAAAGCGCGCGUAGGCGGAUUAGAAAGUUGGGGGUGAAAUCCCGGGGCUCAACCUCGGAACUGCCUCCAAAACUGCCAGUCUAGAGUUCGAGAGAGGUGAGUGGAAUUCCGAGUGUAGAGGUGAAAUUCGUAGAUAUUCGGAGGAACACCAGUGGCGAAGGCGGCUCACUGGCUCGAUACUGACGCUGAGGUGCGAAAGUGUGGGGAGCAAACAGGAUUAGAUACCCUGGUAGUCCACACCGUAAACGAUGAAUGCCAGUCGUCGGGUAGUAUACUAUUCGGUGACACACCUAACGGAUUAAGCAUUCCGCCUGGGGAGUACGGUCGCAAGAUUA